GACGAACGCUGGCGGCGUGCUUAACACAUGCAAGUCGAACGGAAAGGCCUGCUUUCCCUUGUGGAUUGCGGGUACUCGAGUGUCGAACGGGUGAGUAACACGUGAGUGAUCUGCCCCCAACUUUGGUAUAAGCCUGGGAAACUGGGUCUAAUUCCCGAUAGGACUGCAGGGUGGUGCCUGUGGUGGAAAACGAUUUUCUAGUGGUUGGGGAUGAGCUCGCGGCCUAUCAGCUUGUUGGUGGGGUAAUGGCCUACCAAGGCGGCGACGGGUAGCCGGCCUGAGAGCGUGGACGGCCAAAUUGGGACUGAGAUACGGCCCAGACGCCAGCGGGAGGCAGCAGUGGGGAAUAUUGCAAAAUGGGCGGAAGCAUGAUGCAGCGACGCCGCGUGGGGGAUGACGGCCUUCGGGUGGUAAACUCCUUUCGACCGCGAGGAAGCCACCUGGUUGGAAGGGUGGUGACGGUAGCGGUAGAAGAAGCACCGGCUAACUACGUG
rnacentral:rRNA from 1 species